UUCCAGACUCCUACGGGAGGCAGCAGUGGGGAAUAUUGCACAAUGGGGGAAACCCUGAUGCAGCGACGCCGCGUGAGUGAAGAAGUAUUUCGGUAUGUAAAGCUCUAUCAGCAGGGAAGAAAAUGACGGUACCUGAGUAAGAAGCCCCGGCUAACUACGUGCCAGCAGCCGCGGUAAUACGUAGGGGGCAAGCGUUAUCCGGAUUUACUGGGGGUAAAGGGAGCGUAGACGGCGAUACAAGUCUGAAGUGAAAGCCCGGGGCUCAACCCCGGGACUGCCUUGGAAACUGUGUUGCUGGAGUGCUGGAGAGGCAAGCGGAAUUCCUAGUGUAGCGGGGAAAUGCGUAGAUAUUAGGAAGAACACCAGUGGCGGAGGGGGCGUGCUGGACAGUAACUGACGUUGAGGCUCGAAAGCGUGGGGAGCAAACAGGAUUAGAUACCCCAGUAGAU
rnacentral:rRNA from 1 species